UGUGAUUACAGAUUGGUCUUCUUUAAACUGUUUUUCCAAAACAAAAAACGAAAAAUCAUAUCAACUUCAAAAGGUUCAAAAGUGUUGUCAAUAGUUCACUUAAACAUUCUCAAAGAUUUUAGGUUGAGUUUUUGCUGUUACACCUGCUAUUGCUGUUGUAAGUACUCAAAAUUUCAGGAAGUUCU
rnacentral:lncRNA from 1 species